rnacentral:rRNA from 1 species
AUUGAACGCUGGCGGCAUGCUUUACACAUGCAAGUCGAACGGUAACAGGCCGCAAGGUGCUGACGAGUGGCGAACGGGUGAGUAAUGCAUCGGAACGUGCCCAGUCGUGGGGGAUAACGCAGCGAAAGCUGCGCUAAUACCGCAUACGAUCUCUGGAUGAAAGCGGGGGACCGAAAGGCCUCGCGCGAUUGGAGCGGCCGAUGUCAGAUUAGGUAGUUGGUGGGGUAAAGGCCCACCAAGCCAACGAUCUGUAGCUGGUCUGAGAGGACGACCAGCCACACGGGGACUGAGACACGGCCCAGACUCCUACGGGAGGCAGCAGUGGGGAAUUUUGGACAAUGGGCGCAAGCCUGAUCCAGCAAUGCCGCGUGCAGGAAGAAGGCCUUCGGGUUGUAAACUGCUUUUGUACGGAACGAAACGGUCCUGGUUAAUACCUGGGGCUAAUGACGGUACCGUAAGAAUAAGCACCGGCUAACUACGUGCCAGCAGCAGCCGCGGUAA